rnacentral:rRNA from 1 species
AACGAACGCUGGCGGCAUGCCUAACACAUGCAAGUCGAACGAGACCUUCGGGUCUAUUGGCGCACGGGUGCGUAACGCGUGGGAACCUGCCCUUAGGUUCGGCAUAACUCCCCGAAAGGGGUGCUAAUACCGGAUAAUGUCUUCGGACCAAAGAUUUAUCGCCUUUGGAUGGGCCCGCGUUGGAUUAGCUAGUUGGUAGGGUAAAAGCCUACCAAGGCGACGAUGCAUAGCUGGUCUGAGAGGAUGAUCAGCGACACUGGGACUGAGACACGGCCCAGACUCCUACGGGAGGCAGCAGUGGGGAAUAUUGGACAAUGGGCGAAAGCAUGAUCCAGCAAUGCCGGGUGAGUGAUGAAGGCCUUAGGGUUGUAAAGCUCUUUUACCCGGGAUGAUAAUGACAGUACCGGGAGAAUAAGCUCCGGCUAACUCCGUG